rfam:Schistosoma rodhaini strain Burundi genome assembly, scaffold: SROB_scaffold0004103
AUCCAGCUAACGAGUACCAAAUAGGACGAAACGAUCGUCCAACUGGAU